rnacentral:tRNA from 1 species
GAGGGUAGAGCUCAGUGGUAGAGUGUGUGCAUAGCAUGCUCAAAUUCCUGAGUUCAAUCCCCAGUACCUCCA